rnacentral:misc_RNA from 1 species
AAAAAAAAAGCGAACAAAAUCGCUAGUUUGCAGGAGGGGAGGGGGUUGCUUUUGCUUAUAGAAAGCAUGGCGAAAAGCUAAUGAAAUUGCUUCUCCUUUUGCGGGGCUAUGAGCUUGUAAAUAAUUUUGUUCUGUUAAAUGAGUUAGACUUCUUGUUAAAUGGGUUAACUUAUUAACAUGAUUUGUUUAUUAAAUAGUUUACAUCGGUUAUGUUGUGUAACCUGUUUAAUAAAUAGGUCAUGUAUGGGUUAAGCAUAUGUGACAGGAUUAUUAAUCAUAUUGUGUUUAAGUUAAGCAUGAUUGUGUUCACGUCAUAAUGACAUUAGCCAUGUGGACACUGUUAGACACGAAUUGCCAGUCCUGCCUUCUAUACACAAAAAAAUGUGAUUAAUUAUUAGCUGUCACUUUUAUUGUGCAAUAUACAUGCAAAAGAAAAACAAAGUUAAAGCAUUUUCUAAUUUUCUUCCUUUUAAAUUUAUUUUCGUCUAAAUUUCACUGGUUUCUUUAAAUCUGACUACAAUUGAACCUUAUACUUGAUUGGAUGCCAAAAAUGUAAAAUUAGAAAAUGAAAAGAAUUCUCUAUAUUUUUAUGCAACUUACAAAUAGAAUAAUGAUAUUGUGAAAAUGCCCUCAGAUUUACCAAAUUGAGCGUUGGGAGUGUUGGUAUCUUUUAGCAGGUGAUAAGUGCAAAAUUGUGAUAAUCAAUUUGAUUGUGAUUACUGCUGGAAUUUAAGUUUCUUGGCAUAUUUUGCAAUUUUAUGAACCAAAUGAGAGUAUUUGAGAUUUUUUUCAUGAUCCAAACUUCUCUCUCUUUCCAGUUGUAAUAUUUCAUCUCGUUGCAAAAUACCAGAGUGUAUACACAUGAUGAAUGCAUCUGCUGUAGUUAACUAUAAGUCCUAAUUCUGCCAAUGAAUCCUUAUUUUCUGUUUCUUCUUUCAUCAUUUGAAAUUAUGGAGCAUAUAUGCUACCAUCAUCCGCAACUUGCAUAUUUUUCCACUAGUAAAAUAAGUGUUCAACAUUUGUUAUUUAACCUUCAUUACUUUAGUUUCAUUGGCCUCCUAAGCAUGUUUUUCACCUUUGUCAGAAAUAUAUGCCAGAUUUGGCCA